rnacentral:rRNA from 1 species
ACAUGCUUACAACAUAGCACUAAUGCAUUGGAUCCCAUUAGAACUCUACAGUUAAGCGUGAUUGGGAUAGAGUAGUACUAGGAUGGGUGACCGCCUAGGAAUUCUUAGUAUUUUACAUGGU